rnacentral:rRNA from 1 species
UGGGGAAUAUUGGGCAAUGGGCGCAAGCCUGACCCAGCAACGCCGCGUGAAGGAAGAAGGCUUUCGGGUUGUAAACUUCUUUUAUCAGGGACGAAAAAAGUGACGGUACCUGAUGAAUAAGCCACGGCUAACUACGUGCCAGCAGCCGCGGUAAUACGUAGGUGGCAAGCGUUAUCCGGAUUUACUGGGUGUAAAGGGCGUGUAGGCGGGCUUGCAAGUCAGAUGUGAAAUUCCAGGGCUCAACCCUGGAACUGCAUUUGAAACUGUAGGUCUUGAGUGCUGGAGAGGCAAUCGGAAUUCCGUGUGUAGCGGUGAAAUGCGUAGAUAUACGGAGGAACACCAGUGGCGAAGGCGGAUUGCUGGACAGUAACUGACGCUGAGGCGCGAAAGCGUGGGGAGCAAACAGG